AUGGCGACAAAGAAGCAUCUUUACCGCUUUGAGUCUUUUGCAAUAAAGGACGGGUCGGAGAUUCGUUUCUGGGAAGAUAUCUGGCUAGACAAUGCAAGUCUCCGAGAACAUUAUCCAGCCUUGUACAUCAUUGCUCAUGAUAAGAAUAAUACUAUUGAGCAGGUCUUCAGUUCAUCCCAGCCGAAUAUUUUCUUCAAACGGGAUUUGAUUGGCCCCCGUCUUAUGUCAUGGCAUAAAGUUUUGUCUCGACUGGAUUCGAUUAACCCGACACAAGGCCGGGAUGUGUUUCGCUGGGAACUUACUACAUCAGGGUCUUUCAUAGUAGACUCUAUGUACCAUGCGCUCAUGCAUUCUGAGGUACCGGUUAGUAAUAACAAAAAAAUCUGGAAGUCAAAGAUCUUACUAAAAGUUAAAAUCUUCAUGUGGUAUCUUUGUAGGGUAAUUGUACUAACCAGAGACAAUGUCACAUGA
rnacentral:rRNA from 1 species